rnacentral:rRNA from 1 species
UACGAAGGGGGCUAGCGUUGCUCGGAAUCACUGGGCGUAAAGCGCACGUAGGCGGAUUGUUAAGUCAGGGGUGAAAUCCUGGAGCUCAACUCCAGAACUGCCUUUGAUACUGGCGAUCUCGAGUCCGGGAGAGGUGAGUGGAACUGCGAGUGUAGAGGUGAAAUUCGUAGAUAUUCGCAAGAACACCAGUGGCGAAGGCGGACUCACUGGCCCGGUACUGGACGCUGAGGUGCGAAAGCG